rnacentral:lncRNA from 1 species
UCCCCUUUCAUAGCUUAAUAAAUCAGAUUUGGCUUCGAGGUAUUUCUCUUUUUAGAUUUGGACGUGCAUACCAUCGGAGGCGGAGACGACAACGGUGCUUGCUAGCAUGUUCGAGUUGGGGUUGAUACCCUUUUGUGGUGCCUCCGGUUCUCAACUGCCAUGGUCCCUCCCAUUCUUUCGUGCUAACCAUGGAGGCUACCAACGGUAUGCUUGAUAUGAGUAAGCGUAGGCGUUUUAGGGGCGGAGGUUUUCUGCCGGUUCCCAGCCGCACAGAUGCGAGACUGCCAAUAGAGGACAAGCAGCAUGUGUGUGUUGGAUCUUUUCAAGUGCAUCAUGUUCGACUAGGUGCAUAUUUUGCGAGAUAAACUCGUCAUCGUCUGUGAUUUUCAUUUGUGUUGAGGAUUUCAGGAUAGAAGGGCUGCUUCGGAGGGGGUCAUGACGAGCAAGGUGGCUGUUGUAUCUAUUCUUAUGUUGUUUUGUUUCAGAUAAGUCACACUGAUUUCUCUCAAAUAUGUCUAUUUGUAGAGAAAAAAUAGUCAUAUGGAGCAGUCUUCAGAGAAGACUAGAACUGUCGGUACAUUUUAUGAGCAUUGUUCAUUUUUUGGUGACCUGACUGAACCAUCCUCUCACCAUGCCACUACUGGUUUCUGCAUAGAAUCCUUGCCUGUUUGGCUGGUGUCAAAUUGCCAAUCGUAGAUGAGUUGUCUUCUGGUAGAACAAUGAUAAAACUGCAUAGUAGUAUGCCAUUUAGGGUUGUCUCUGUUGCAUAUGAGUUGUCUCUGAAUAUGUUGACAUUGUUGGGGAACGUAGCAGAAAUUCAAAAUUUUCCUACGUGUCACCAAGAUCUAUCUAUGGAGAAACUAGCAACGAGGGAAAGGAGAGUGCAUCUACAUACCCUUGUAGAUCGCUAAGCGGAAGCGUUCAAGUGAACGGGGUUGAUGGAGUCGUACUCGUCGUGAUUCAGAUCACCGAUGAUCCUAGUGCCGAACGGACGGCACCUCCGCGUUCAACACACGUACAGCCCGGUGACGUCUCCCAUGCCUUGAUCCAGCAAGGAGAGAGGGAGAGGUUGAGGAAGACUCCAUCCAACAGCAGCACAACGGCGUGGUGGUGAUGGAGGAGCGUGGCAAUCCAGCAGGGCUUCGCUAAGCACCACGGGAGAGGAGGAGUAGGGAGAGAGGUAGGGCUGCACCAAGAGGGAGAGAACUCAUCAUUAUGGCAGCCCCAAACCUCAACUAUAUAUAGGGGGAAGGGGGGGCUGCGCCCCCUUUAGGGUUUCCCACCCCCAAGGGGUGCGGCCAGCCCUAGAUGUCAAAGGGGGUGGCGGCCAAGAGGGGAGAGGAGAGGGAGGCGCACCAAUAUGGGCCUUAAGGCCCAUCUGGACUAGGGUUUGCCCCCUCCCACUCUCCCUUGCGCCUUGCACCCUUGUGGGGGGCGCACCAGCCCUCCUAGGGGCUGGUCCCCUCCCACACUUGGCCCACGCAACCUGCUGGGGCAGGUGGCCCCACUUGGUGGACCCCCGGGACCCUCCCGGUGGUCCCGGUACAUUACCGAUAUCGCCCGAAACUUUUCCGGUGACCAAAACAGGACUUCCCAUAUAUAAAUCUUUACCUCCGGACCAUUCCGGAACUCCUCGUGACGUCCGGGAUCUCAUCCGGGACUCCGAACAACAUUCGGUAACCACAUACAAGCUUCCUUUAUAACCCUAGCGUCACCGAACCUUAAGUGUGUAGACCCUACGGGUUCGGGAGACAUGUAGACAUGACCGAGACGUUCUCCGGUCAAUAACCAACAGCGGGAUCUGGAUACCCAUGUUGGCUCCCACAUGUUCCACGAUGAUCUCAUCGGAUGAACCACGAUGUCAAGGACUUAAUCAAUCCCGUAUUCAAUUCCCUUUGUCUAGCGGUAUUUUACUUGCCCGAGAUUCGAUCGUCGGUAUACCGAUACCUUGUUCAAUCUCGUUACCGGCAAGUCUCUUUACUCGUUCCAUAACACAUCAUCCCGUGAUCAACCCCUUGGUCACAUUGUGCACAUUAUGAUGAUGUCCUACCGAGUGGGCCCAGAGAUACCUCUCCGUUUACACGGAGUGACAAAUCCCAGUCUCGAUUCGUGCCAACCCAACAGACACUUUCGGAGAUACCUGUAAUGCACCUUUAUAGCCACCCAGUUACGUUGUGACGUUUGGUACACCCAAAGCAUUCCUACGGUAUCCGGGAGUUGCACAAUCUCAUGGUCUAAGGAAAAGAUACCUGACAUUAGAAAAGCUUUAGCAUACGAACUACACGAUCUUUGUGCUAGGCUUAGGAUUGGGUCUUGUCCAUCACAUCAUUCUCCUAAUGAUGUGAUCCCGUUAUCAACGACAUCCAAUGUCCUGUUGGAAAUAUGCCCUAGAGGCAAUAAUAAAAGCAUUAUUAUUAUAUUUCCUUGUUCAUGAUAAUUGUCUUUAUUCAUGCUACAAUUGUGCUAUCCGGAAAUCGUAAUGCAUGUGUGAAUAACAGACACCAACAUGUCCCUAGUGAGCCUCUAGUUGACUAGCUCGUUGAUCAACAGAUAGUCAUGGUUUCCUGACUAUGGACACUGGAUGUCAUUGAUAACGAGAUCACAUCAUUGGGAGAAUGAUGUGAUGGACGAGACCCAAUCCUAAACAUAUCACAAGAUCGUAUAGUUCGUUUGCUAGAGUUUUGCAAUGUCAAAGUAUCUUUUCCUUAGACCAUGAGAUCGUGUAACUCCCGGAUACCGUAGGAGUGCUUUGGGUAUGCCAAACGUCACAACGUAACUGGGUGACUAUAAAGGUAGACUACGGGUAUCUCCGAAAGUGUCUGUUGGGUGACAUGGAUCAAGACUGGGAUUUGUCACUCCGUAUGACGGAGAGGUAUCACUGGGCCCACUCGGUAAUGCAUCAUCAUAAUGAGCUCAGAGUGACCAAGUGUCUGGUCACGGGAUCAUGCAUUACGGUACGAGUAAAGUGACUUGCCGGUAACGAGAUUGAACGAGGUAUUGGGAUACCGACGAUCGAAUCUCGGGCAAGUAACAUAUCGAUGGACAAAGGGAAUAGUGUACGGGGUUGAUUGAAUCCUCGACAUCGUGGUUCAUCCGAUGAGAUCAUCGUGGAGCAUGUGGGAGCCAACAUGGGUAUCCAGAUCCCGCUGUUGGUUAUUGACCGGAGAGUCGUCUCGGUCAUGUCUGCUUGUCUCUCGAACCCGUAGGGUCUACACACUUAAGGUUCAGUUACGCUAGGGUUGUAGGGAUAUGUAUAUGCAGUAACCCGAAUGUUGUUCGGAGUCCCGGAUGAGAUCCCGGACGUCACGAGGAGUUCCGGAAUGGUCCGGAGGUAAAGAUUUAUAUAUGGGAAGUCUUGUUUCGGGCAUCGGGACAAGUUUCGGGGUUAUCGGUAUUGUACCGGGACCACCGGAAGGGUCCUGGGGGUCCACCGGGUGGGUCCACCUGUCCCGGGGGGCCACAUGGGCUGUAAGGGGGUGCGCCUUGGCCUAAUGGGCCAAGGGCACCAGCCCCACAUAGGCCCAUGCGCCUAGGGUUUAAGGGGGCAAGAGUCCUAGGAGGGUAAGGCACCUCCUAGGUGCCUUUGGGGGGAGGGAAACCUCCCCUUGGCCGCCGGCCAUAGGAGAUUGGAUCUCCUAGGCUGCGCACCACCCCCCCUUGGCACCCCUAUAUAUAGUGGGGGGAGAGGAGGGACUUCAUACCUGAACGCCUCGGCCUUUGGUUGCCUCCUUCUCCCUCCCCAACACCUCCUCAACCUCCAUAGUGCUUAGCGAAGCUCUGCCGGAGUACUGCAGCUCCAUCAACACCACGCCGUCGUGCUGCUGCUGGUGCCAUCUCCCUCAACCUCUCCUCCCUCCCUUGCUGGAUCAAGAAGGAGGAGACGUGGCUGUUCCGUACGUGUGUUGAACGCGGAGGUGCCGUCCGUUCGGCGCUGGUCAUCGGUGAUUUGGAUCAUGUCGAGUAUGACUACAUCAUCACCGUUCUUUUGAACGCUUCCGCUCGCGAUCUACAAAGGUAUGUAGAUGCAUCUAAUCACUCGUUGCUAGAUGAACUCCUAGAUGAUCUUGGUGAAACGAGUAGGAAAAUUUUUGUUUUCUGCAACGUUCCCCAACAGUGGCAUCAUGAGCUAGGUCUAUGCGUAGUUCUUCUUGCGCGAGUAGAACACAAUUUGUUGUGGGCGUAGAUUUGUCAACUUUCUUGCCGUUACUAGUCCUUUCUUGCUUCAGCGGUAUUGUGGGAUGAAGCGGCCCGGACCAACCUUACACGUACGCUUACGUGAGACCGGUUCCACCGACUAACAUGCACUAGUUGCAUAAGGUGGCUGGCGGGUGUCUGUCUCUCCUACUUUAGUUGGAGCGGAAUCGAUGAACAGGGUCCUUAUGAAGGGUAAAUAGAAGUUGACAAAUCACUUUGUGGCUUUAACGUAGGUAAGAAAACGUUCUUGCUAGAACCCUAUUUCAGCCACGUAAAAAACUUGCAACAACAAUUAGAGGACGUCUAACUUGUUUUUGCAGCAAGUGGUUUGUGAUAUGAUAUGGCCAAAGUUGUGAUGAAUGAUGAAUGAUCUAUAUGUGAUGUAUGAGAUGUUCAUGCUAUUGUAAUAGGAUUCACGACUUGCAUGUCGAUGAGUAUGACAACCGGCAGGAGCCAUAGGAGUUGUCUUUAUUCUUUUAUAUGACCUGCGUGUCAUCAAGAAACGCCAUGUAAAUUACUUUACUUUAUUGCUAAACGCGUUAGCCAUAGUAGUAGAAGUAAUAGUUGGCGAGCAACUUCAUGGAGACACGAUGAUGGAGAUCAUGAUGAUGGAGAUCAUGGUGUCAAGCCGGUGACAAGAUGAUCAUGGAGCCCCAAGAUGGAGAUCAAAGGAGCUAUGUGAUAUUGGCCAUAUCAUGUCACGUUUAUUAUUUGAUUGCAUGUGAUGUUUAUCAUGUUUUGCAUCUUGUUUACUUAGAAUGAUGGUAGUAAAUAAGAUGAUCCCUCACAAUAAUUUCAAGAAGUGUUCCCCCUAACUGUGCACCGUUGCGACAGUUCGCUGUUUCAAAACACCACGUGAUGAUCGGGUGUUUUAUUCAGACGUUCACAUACAACGGGUGUAAGACAGAUUUACACAUGCAAACACUUAGGUUGACUUGACGAGCCUAGCAUGUACAGACAUGGCCUCGGAACACAGAAGACCGAAAGGUCGAGCAUGAGUCGUAUAGAAGAUACGAUCAACAUGAAGAUGUUCACCGAUGUUGACUAGUCCGUCUCACGUGAUGAUCGGACACGGUCUAGUUUAACUCGGAUCAUGUAAUACUUAGAUGACCAGAGGGAUGUCUAAUCUAAGUGGGAGUUCACUAAUAAUUUGAUUAGUUGAACUUAAUUAUCAUGAACUUAGUCUAAAAUCUUUGCAAUAUGUCUUGUAGAUCAAAUGGCCAACGUAGUCCUCAACUUCAACGCGUUCCUAGAGAAAACUAAGCUGCAAGACGAUGGCAGCAACUAUACGGACUGGGUCCGGAACCUGAGGAUCAUCCUCAUAGCUGCCAAGAAAGAUUAUGUCCUACAAGCACCGCUUGGUGACGCACCCGUUCUCCCUGCAGAACAAGAUGUUAUGAACGCUUGGCAGGCACGUUUCGAUGACUACUCCCUCGUUCAGUGCGGCAUGCUUUACAGCCUAGAGCCGGGGCUCCAAAAGCGUUUUGAGAGACAUGGAGCAUAUGAGAUGUUCGAAGAGCUGAAAAUGGUUUUCCAAGCUCAUGCCCGGGUCGAGAGAUAUGAAGUCUCCGACAAAUUCUUUAGCUGUAAGAUGGAGGAAAACAGUUCUGUCAGUGAGCACAUACUCACUAUGUCUGGGUUGCAUAACCGCUUGACUCAGCUGGGAGUUAAUCUCCCGGAUGAUGCGGUCAUUGACAGAAUCCUCCAGUCGCUUCCACCAAGCUACAAGAGCUUUGUGAUGAACUUCAAUAUGCAGGGGAUGGAAAAGACCAUUCCUGAAGUAUUUGCUAUGCUGAAAUCAGCAGAGGUGGAAGUCAGAAAGGAACAUCAAGUGUUGAUGGUCAAUAAAACCACUAAGUUCAAGAAAGGCAAGGGUAAAAAGAACUUCAAGAAGGACGGCAAGGAGGUUGCCGCGCCCGGCAAGCAAGCUGCUGGGAAGAAGCCAAAGAAUGGACCCAAGCCCGAGACUGAGUGCUUUUAUUGCAAGGGAAGCGGUCACUGGAAGCGGAACUGCCCUAAGUACUUAGCGGAUAAGAAGGCCGGCAAAACAAAAGGUAUAUGUGAUAUACAUGUAAUUGAUGUGUACCUUACUAGUGCCCGUAGUAGCUCCUGGGUAUUUGAUACCGGUGCAGUUGCUCACAUUUGUAACUCAAAGCAGGGGCUGCGGAAUAAGCGGAAACUGGCAAAGGACGAGGUGACGAUGCGCGUCGGGAAUGGUUCCAAGGUCAAUGUGAUCGCAGUCGGCACGCUACCUCUGCAUCUCCCUUCGGGAUUAGUUUUAAACCUUAAUAAUUGUUAUUUAGUGCCAGCUUUGAGCAUGAACAUUGUAUCGGGAUCUCGUUUAAUUCGAGAUGGCUACUCUUUUAAAUCUGAGAAUAAUGGUUGUUCCAUUUUUAUGAGAGAUAUGUUUUAUGGUCAUGCUCCUAUGGUGAAUGGUUUAUUCCUUAUGAAUCUCGAACGUGAUGCUACACAUAUUCAUAAUGUGAGUACCAAAAGAAGUAAGGUUGAUAAUGAUAGUCCCACAUACUUGUGGCACUGCCGCCUUGGUCACAUAGGUGUUAAACGCAUGAAGAAGCUCCAUGCUGAUGGACUUUUAGAGUCUCUUGAUUAUGAAUCAUUUGACACGUGCGAACCAUGCCUUAUGGGUAAAAUGACCAAGACUCCGUUCUCAGGAACAAUGGAGCGAGCAACCGACUUAUUGGAAAUCAUACAUACUAAUGUGUGCGGUCCGAUGAGUAUUGAGGCUCGCGGUGGCUAUCGUUAUGUUCUCACCCUCACUGAUGAUUUAAGUAGGUAUGGGUAUAUCUACUUAAUGAAACACAAGUCUGAAACCUUUGAAAAGUUCAAGGAAUUUCAGAGUGAGGUUGAAAAUCAACGUGACAGGAAAAUCAAGUUUCUACGAUCAGAUCGUGGAGGAGAAUACUUGAGUCACGAGUUUGGGGCACACUUAAGAAAAUGUGGAAUAGUUUCACAACUCACGCCGCCUGGAACACCUCAGCGUAAUGGUGUGUCCGAACGUCGUAAUCGCACUCUGUUAGAUAUGGUGCGAUCUAUGAUGUCUCUUACCGAUUUACCGCUUUCUUUUUGGGGCUAUGCUUUAGAGACUGCCGCAUUCACUUUAAAUAGGGCUCCGUCGAAAUCCAUUGAGACGACACCGUAUGAAUUAUGGUUUGGGAAGAAACCUAAGCUGUCGUUUCUAAAAGUUUGGGGAUGCGAUGCUUAUGUCAAGAAACUUCAACCUGAAAAGCUUGAACCCAAAUCGGAAAAAUGCGUCUUCAUAGGGUACCCAAAAGAAACUAUUGGGUACACCUUCUACCUCAGAUCCGAAGGCAAGAUCUUUGUUGCCAAGAAUGGGUCCUUUCUGGAGAAAGAGUUUCUCUCGAAAGAAGUAAGUGGGAGGAAAGUAGAGCUUGAUGAAGUAUUGCCACUUGAACCGGAAAAUGGCGCAACUCAAGAAAAUGUUCCUGAGGUGCCUGCACCGACUAGAGAGGAAGUUAAUGAAAAUGAUCAAGAUACUUCUGAUCAAGCCCCUACUGAAAUCCGAAGGUCCACAAGGACACGUUCCGCACCAGAGUGGUACGGCAACCCUGUCUUGGAAAUCAUGUUGUUAGACAACGGUGAACCUUCAAACUAUGAAGAAGCGAUGGCGGGACCGGAUUCCGACAAAUGGCUAGAAGCCAUGAAAUCCGAGAUAGGAUCCAUGUAUGAAAAUGAAGUAUGGACUUUGACUGACUUGCCCAUUGAGCGGCGAGCCAUAGAAAAUAAAUGGAUCUUUAAGAGGAAGACAGACGCGGAUGGUAAUGUGACCAUCUAUAAAGCUCGGCUUGUCGCUAAGGGUUAUCGACAAGUUCAAGGGAUUGACUACGAUGAGACUUUCUCACCGGUAGCGAAGCUGAAGUCCGUCCGAAUCAUGUUAGCAAUUGCCGCAUUCUAUGAUUACGAAAUAUGGCAAAUGGACGUCAAAACGGCAUUCCUUAAUGGUUUCCUUAAGGAAGAAUUGUAUAUGAUGCAGCCGGAAGGUUUUGUCGAUCCUAAGAAUGCUGACAAAGUGUGCAAGCUCCAACGCUCGAUUUAUGGGCUGGUGCAAGCAUCUCGGAGUUGGAACAUUCGCUUUGAUGAGAUGAUCAAAGCGUUUGGGUUUACACAGACUUAUGGAGAAGCCUGCGUUUACAAGAAAGUGAGUGGGAGCUAUGUAGCAUUUCUCAUAUUAUAUGUAGAUGACAUACUUUUGAUGGGAAAUGAUAUAGAACUCUUGGACAGCAUCAAGGCCUACUUGAAUAAAAGUUUUUCAAUGAAGGACCUUGGAGAAGCUGCUUAUAUAUUAGGCAUCAAAAUCUAUAGAGAUAGAUCAAGACGCCUCAUAGGUCUUUCACAAAGCACAUACCUUGAUAAGAUAUUGAAGAAGUUCAAUAUGGAUCAAUCCAAGAAGGGGUUCUUGCCUGUGUUGCAAGGUAUGAAAUUGAGCUCAGCUCAAUGUCCGACCACGGCAGAAGAUAUAGAAGAGAUGAGCGUCAUCCCCUAUGCCUCAGCCAUAGGUUCUAUUAUGUAUGCCAUGCUGUGUACCAGACCUGAUGUAAACCUUGCCGUAAGUUUGGUAGGAAGGUACCAAAGUAAUCCCGGCAAGGAACACUGGACAACGGUCAAGAAUAUCCUGAAGUACCUAAAAAGGACUAAGGAAAUGUUUCUCGUUUAUGGAGGUGACGAAGAGCUCGUCGUAAAGGGUUACGUCGACGCUAGCUUCGACACAGAUCUGGAUGACUCUAAGUCACAAACCGGAUACGUGUAUAUUUUGAAUGGUGGGGCAGUGAGCUGGUGCAGUUGCAAGCAAAGCGUCGUGGCGGGAUCUACAUGUGAAGCGGAGUACAUGGCAGCCUCGGAGGCAGCACAUGAAGCAAUAUGGGUGAAGGAGUUCAUCACCGACCUAGGAGUCAUACCCAAUGCGUCGGGGCCGAUCAAGCUCUUCUGUGACAACUCUGGAGCUAUUGCACUUGCCAAGGAGCCCAGGUUUCACAAGAAGACAAGGCACAUCAAGCGUCGCUUCAACUCCAUUCGUGAAAAUGUUCAAGAUGGAGACAUAGAGAUUUGUAAAGUACAUACGGACCUGAAUGUAGCAGAUCCGUUGACUAAACCUCUCCCUAGAGCAAAACAUGAUAAACACCAGAAUUCCAUGGGUGUUCGAUUCAUCACAAUGUAACUAGAUUAUUGACUCUAGUGCAAGUGGGAGACUGUUGGAAAUAUGCCCUAGAGGCAAUAAUAAAAGCAUUAUUAUUAUAUUUCCUUGUUCAUGAUAAUUGUCUUUAUUCAUGCUAUAAUUGUGUUAUCCGGAAAUCGUAAUGCAUGUGUGAAUAACAGACACCAACAUGUCCCUAGUGAGCCUCUAGUUGACUAGCUCGUUGAUCAACAGAUAGUCAUGGUUUCCUGACUAUGGACACUGGAUGUCAUUGAUAACGAGAUCACAUCAUUGGGAGAAUGAUGUGAUGGAUGAGACCCAAUCCUAAACAUAGCACAAGAUCGUAUAGUUCGUUUGCUAGAGUUUUGCAAUGUCAAAGUAUCUUUUCCUUAGACCAUGAGAUCGUGUAACUCCCGGAUACCGUAGGAGUGCUUUGGGUAUGCCAAACGUCACAACAUAACUGGGUGACUAUAAAGGUAGACUACGGGUAUCUCCGAAAGUGUCUGUUGGGUGACAUGGAUCAAGACUGGGAUUUGUCACUCCGUAUGACGGAGAGGUAUCACGGGGCCCACUCGGUAAUGCAUCAUCAUAAUGAGCUCAGAGUGACCAAGUGUCUGGUCACGGGAUCAUGCAUUACGGUACGAGUAAAGUGACUUGCCGGUAACGAGAUUGAACGAGGUAUUGGGAUACCGACGAUCGAAUCUCGGGCAAGUAACAUAUCGAUGGACAAAGGGAAUAGUGUACGGGGUUGAUUGAAUCCUCGACAUCGUGGUUCAUCCGAUGAGAUCAUCGUGGAGCAUGUGGGAGCCAACAUGGGUAUCCAGAUCCCGCUGUUGGUUAUUGACCGGAGAGUCGUCUCGGUCAUGUCUGCUUGUCUCUCGAACCCGUAGGGUCUACACACUUAAGGUUCAGUUACGCUAGGGUUGUAGGGAUAUGUAUAUGCAGUAACCCGAAUGUUGUUCGGAGUCCCGGAUGAGAUCCCGGACGUCACGAGGAGUUCCGGAAUGGUCCGGAGGUAAAGAUUUAUAUAUGGGAAGUCUUGUUUCGGGCAUCGGGACAAGUUUCGGGGUUAUCGGUAUUGUACCGGGACCACCGGAAGGGUCCCGGGGGUCCACCGGGUGGGUCCACCUGUCCCGGGGGGCCACAUGGGCUGUAAGGGGGUGCACCUUGGCCUCAUGGGCCAAGGGCACCAGCCCCACAUAGGCCCAUGCGCCUAGGGUUUAAGGGGGCAAGAGUCCUAGGAGGGUAAGGCACCUCCUAGGUGCCUUUGGGGGGAGGGAAACCUCCCCUUGGCCGCCGGCCAUAGGAGAUUGGAUCUCCUAGGCUGCGCACCACCCCCCCUUGGCACCCCUAUAUAUAGUGGGGGGAGAGGAGGGACUUCAUACCCGAACGCCUCGGCCUUUGGUUGCCUCCUUCUCCCUCCCCAACACCUCCUCAACCUCCAUAGUGCUUAGCGAAGCUCUGCCGGAGUACUGCAGCUCCAUCAACACCACGCCGUCGUGCUGUUGCUGGUGCCAUCUCCCUCAACCUCUCCUCCCUCCCUUGCUGGAUCAAGAAGGAGGAGACGUGGCUGUUCCGUACGUGUGUUGAACGCGGAGGUGCCGUCCGUUCGGCGCUGGUCAUCGGUGAUUUGGAUCACGUCGAGUACGACUACAUCAUCACCGUUCUUUUGAACGCUUCCGCUCGCGAUCUACAAAGGUAUGUAGAUGCAUCUAAUCACUCGUUGCUAGAUGAACUCCUAGAUGAUCUUGGUGAAACGAGUAGGAAAAUUUUUGUUUUCUGCAACGUUCCCCAACAUGUCCAUAGCCAGGAAACCAUGACUAUCUGUUGAUCACAACGAGCUAGUCAACUAGAGGCUCACUAGGGACAUAUUGUGGUCUAUGUAUUCACACGUGUAUUACGAUUUCCGGAUAAUACAAUUAUAGCAUGAAUAAAAGACUAUUAUCAUGAACAAAGAAAUAUAAUAAUAACACUUUUAUUAUUGCCUCUAGGGCAUAUUUCCAACAGUCUCCCACUUGCACUAGAGUCAAUAAUCUAGUUCACAUCACCAUGUGAUUAACACUGACAGGUCACAUCACCAUGUGACCAACAUCCAAAGAGUUUACUAGUGUCACUAAACUAGUUCACAUCAUCAUGUGAUCAAGACUCAAUGAGAUCUGGGGUUUGGUCAUGUUCUGCUUGUGAGAGAGGUUUUAGUCAACGGGUCUGAACCUUUCAGAUCCGUGUGUGCUUUACAAAUCUCUAUGUCAUCUCCUAGAUGUAGCUCCCACGUUCUAUUUGGAGCUAUUCCAAAUAACUAUUCUACUUGGAGCUAUGCUAAAUUGUUGCUCCAUUAUACGUAUCCGGUAUCUCUACUCAGAGCUAUCCGAAUAGGUGUUAAGCUUGCAUCGACAUAACCCUUUACGACGAACUCUUUAACCACCUCCAUAAUCGAGAAAAUUCCUUAGUGCACUAGUUACUAAGGAUAACUUUGACCGCUGUCCUGUGAUCCAUUCAUGGAUCACUCUUGUACCCCUUGACUGACUCAUGGCAAGGCACACUUCCGGUGCGGUACACAGCAUAGCAUACUGAAGAGCCUACAUCUUAAGCAUAGGGGACGACCUUCGUCCUUUCUCUCUAUUCUGCCGUGGUCGAGCUUUAAGUCUUAACUUCGUACCUUACAACUCAGGCAAGAACUCCUUCUUUGACUGGUCCAUCUUGAACACCUUCAAGAUCAUGUCAAGGUAUGUGCUCAUUUGAAAGUAUUAUUGAGCAUUUUGAUCUAUCCUUAUAGAUCUUGAUGCUCAAUGUUCAAGUAGCUUAAUCCAGGCUUUCCAUUGAAAAACACUUUCAAAAUAACCCUAUAUGCUUUCCAGAAAUUCUACGUCAUUUCUGAUCAACAAUAUGUCAACAACAUAUACUCAUCAGAAAUUCUAUAGUGCUCCCACUCACUUCUUUGGAAAUACAAGUUUCUCAUAAACUUUGUACAAACCCAAAAUUUUUGAUCAUCAUCAAAGCAUACAUUCCAACUCCGAGAUGCUCACUCCAGUCCUUAGAAGGAUUGCUGGAGCUUUGCAUACUUAUUAGCAUCUUUCGGGAUUGACAAAACCUUCCGGUUGUAUCACAUACAACCUUUCCUCAUUAAAAUCGUCGAGGAAACAAUGUUUUGACAUCCUAUCUGCAAGAUUUCAUAAAUACUGCAGUAAUCGCUAAUAUAAUUCCAACAGACUCUUAGCAUCGCUACGAGUGAGAAAAUCUCAUCGUAGUCAACUCCUUGAACUUGUCGGAAAACAUCUUAACGACAAGUCGAGCUUUCUUAAUGGUAUCAUUGUCCGUCUUCCUUUUGAAAUCCAUCUGUACUCAUUAGCCUUACGACCAUCGAGCCGUUCUGCCAAAGUCUACACUUUGUUUUCAUACAUGGAUCCUCUCUCGGAUUUUAUGGCCUCAAGCCAUUUAUCGGAAUCCGGGCCCACCAUCGCUUCUCCAUAGCUCGUAGGUUCAUUGUUGUCUAGCAACAUGACCUUCAAGACAGGAUUACGUAUCACUCUGAAGUAGUAUGUAUCCUUGUCAUCCCACGAGGUUUGGUAGUGACUUGAUCCGAAGUUUCAUGAUCAAUAUCAUAAGCUUCCACUUCAAUUGGUGUAGGUGCCACGGGAACAACUUCCUGUGCCCUGCUACACACUGGUUGAAGUGAUGGUUCAAUAACCUCAUCAAGUCUCCACCAUCCUCCCACUCAACUAUUUUGAGAGAAACCUUUCCUCGAGAAAGGACCCGAUUCUAGAAACAAUUCAUAUUGCUUUCGGAUCUGAAUUAGGAGGUAUACCCAACUGUUUUGGGUGUCCUAUGAAGAUGCAUUUUGUCCGCUUUGGGUUCGAGCUUAUCAAGCUGAAACUUUUUCGCAUAAGCGUCGCAGCCCCAAACCUUUAAGAAAUGACAACUUAGGUUUCUCUAAACCAUAAUUCAUACGGUGUCAUCUCAACGGAAUUACGUGGUGCCCUAUUUAAAGUGAAUGUGGUUGUCUCUAAUGCCUAACCCAUGGACAAUAGUGGUAAUUCGAUAAGAGACAUCAUGGUACGCACCAUAUCCAAUAGGGUGUAACUAUGAUGUUCGGACACACCAUCAAACUAUGGUGUUCCAGGCGGUAUUUAAUUGUGAAACAAUUUCCACAAUGUCUUAAUUGUGUGCCAAAACUUGUAACUCAGAUAUUCAUCUCUAUGAUCAUAUCAUAGACAUUUUAUCCUCUUGUCACAAUGAUCUUCUACUUCACUCUGAAAUUACUUGAACCAUUCAAUAAUUCAGACUUGUGUUUCAUCAAGUAAAUAUAUUCAACAUCUACUCGAAUCAUCUGUGAAGUAAGAACAUAACGAUAUUCACUGCAUGCCUCAGCAUUUAUUGGACUGCACACAUCAAAAUGUGUUACUUCCAACAAUUUGCUAUCUUGUUCCAUCUUAUUGAAACCGAGGCUUUUCAGUCAUCUUGCCUAUGUGGUAUGAUUUGCAUAUCUCAAGUGAUUCAAAAUCAAGUGAGUCCAAACGAUCCAUCUGCAUGGAGUUUCUUCAUGCGUAUACACCAAUAGACAUGGUUCGCAUGUCUCAAACUUUUCAAAAUGAGUGAGUCCAAAGAUCCAUCAACAUGGAGCUUCUUCAUGCAUUUUAUACCGAUAUGACUUACGUGGCAGUGCCACAAAUAGGUGGUACUAUCAUUACUAUCUUUUGGCAUGAACAUGUGUAUCACUACGAUCAAGAUUCAAUAAACCAUUCCUAUAGGUGCCAGAGCACUUAUUCAGGUUUAAUACUAAUCUUGAUGGUAGAGGGAGCGUGCGAUGUUAGAUCACAUCAAACUUGGAAACACUUCCAACACAUAUCGUCAGCUCACCUUUAGCUAGUCUCCGUUUCAUUCCGUAGCUUUUAUUUCGAGUUACUAACACUUAGCAACCGAACCGGUAUCUAAUACCCUGGUGCUACUAGGAGUACUAGUAAAGUACACAUUAACAUAAUGUAUAUCCAAUAUACUUCUAUCGACCUUGCCAGCCUUCUCAUCUACCAAGUAUCUAGGGUAAUUCCGCUCUAGUGACUAUUCCCCUUAUCACAGAAGCACUUAGUCUCGGGUUUGGGUUCAACCUUGGGUUUCUUCACUGGAGCAGCAGCUGAUUUGCCGUUUCAUGAAGUAUCCCUUCUUGCCCUUGCCCUUCUUGAAACUAGUGGUUUCACCAACCAUCAACAAUUGAUGCUCCUUCUUGAUUUCUACUUUCGCGGUGUCAAACAUCGUGAAUACCUCAAGGAUCAUCUUAUUUAUCCCUGAUAUGUUAUAGUUCAUCACGAAGCUCUAGCAGCUCGGUGGCAAUGACUUUGGAGAAACAUCACUAUCUCAUUUGGAAGAUCAACUCCUACUCAAUUCAAGUGAUUGUUGCACUCAGACAAUCUGAGCACAAGCUCAACGAUUGAGCUUUUCUCCCUUAGUUUGCAGGCUAAGAAAAUCGCCGGAGGUCUCAUACCUCUUGACGUGGGCACGAGCCUGAAAUCCCAAUUUCAGCCCUUGAAACAUCUCAUAUGUUCCGCGAUGUUUCGAAAAACGUCUUUGGUGCCUCUACUUAAACCAUUUAACUGAACUAUCACGUAGUUAUCAAAACGUGUAUGUUCGAUGUUCGAAACAUCCACAAACGACGUUUGGGGUUCAGCACACUGAGCAGUGCAUUAAGGACAUAAGCGUUCUACUGUCCGCAUAAUCGCUACUGUCAACUUUCAACUAUAUUUUCUCUAGGAACAUAUCUAAAUAGUGGAACUAAAGCGCGAGCUUACGACAUAAUUUGCAAAAAGGUCUUUUGACUAUGUUCAAGAUAAUUAAGUUCAUCUUAUGAACUCCCACUCAGAUAGACAUCCCUCUAGUCAUCUAAGUGAUUACAUGAUCCGAGUCAACUAGGCCGUGUCCGAUCAUCACGUGAGACGGACUAGUCAUCAUCGGUGAACAUCUUCAUGUUGAUCGUAUCUACUAUACGACUCAUGCUCGACCUUUCGGUCUCCGUGUUCCGAGGCCAUGUCUGUACAUGCUAGGCUCGUCAAGUUAACCCUAAGUGUUUUCGCUGUGUAAAACUGUCUUACACCCGUUGUAUGUGAACGUAAGAAUCCAUCACACCCGAUCAUCACGUGGUGCUUAGAAGUGACGAACUGUAGCAACGGUGCACAGUUAGGGGAGAACACUUCUUGAAAUUGUUGUAAGGGAUCAUCUUAUUUACUACCGUCAUUCUAAGCAAACAAGAUGCAUAAACAUGAUAAACAUCACAUGCAAUCAAAUAGAGUAGUGACAUGAUAUGGCCAAUAUCAUAUAGCUCCUUUGAUCUUCAUCUUCGGGGCUCCAUGAUCAUCUUGUCACCGGCAUGACACCAUGAUCUCCAUCAUCAUGAUCUCCAUCAUCGUGUCUUCAUGAAGUUGUCACGCCAACGACUACUUCUACUUCUAUGACUAACGCGUUUAGCAAUAAAGUAAAGUAGUUUACAUGGCAUUCUUCAAUGACACGCAGGUCAUACAAUAAAUAAAGACAACUCCUAUGGCUCCUGCCGGUUGUCAUACUCAUCGACAUGCAAGUCGUGAAUCCUAUUACAAGAACAUGAUCAAUCUCAUACAUCACAUAUAUCAUUCAUCACAUCCUUUUGGCCAUAUCACAUCACAUAGCAUACCCUGCAAAAACAAGUUAGACGUCCUCUAAUUGUUGUUGCAUGUUUUACGUGGCUGCUAUGGGUUUCUAGCAAGAACGUUUCUUACCUACGCAAGACCACGACAUGAUAUGCCAAUUGCUAUUUACCCUUCAUAAGGACCCUUUUCAUCGAAUCCGUUCCGACUAAAGUGGGAGAGACUGGCACCCGCUAGCCACCUUAUGCACCAAGUGCAUGUCAAUCGGUGGAACCUGUCUCACGUAAGAGUACGUGUAAGGUCGGUCCGGGCCGCUUCAUCCCACAAUACCGUCGAAACAAGAUUGGACUAGUAACGGUAAGCAUAUUGAACAAAAUCAACGCCCACAACUACUUUGUGUUAUACUCGUGCAAAGAAUCUACGCAAUAGACCUAGCUCAUGAUGCCACUGUUGGGGAACGUAGCAGAAAUUCAAAAUUUUCCUACGUGUCACCAAGAUCUAUCUAUGGAGAAACUAGCAACGAGGGAAAGGAGAGUGCGUCUACAUACCCUUGUAGAUCGCUAAGCGGAAGCGUUCAAGUGAACGGGGUUGAUGGAGUCGUACUCGUCGUGAUUCAGAUCACCGAUGAUCCUAGUGCCGAACGGACGGCACCUCCGCGUUCAACACACGUACAGCCCGGUGACGUCUCCCAUGCCUUGAUCCAGCAAGGAGAGAGGGAGAGGUUGAGGAAGACUCCAUCCAACAGCAGCACAACGGCGUGGUGGUGAUGGAGGAGCGUGGCAAUCCAGCAGGGCUUCGCUAAGCACCACGGGAGAGGAGGAGUAGGGAGAGAGGUAGGGCUGCACCAAGAGGGAGAGAACUCAUCAUUAUGGCAGCCCCAAACCUCAACUAUAUAUAGGGGGAAGGGGGGCUGCGCCCCCUUUAGGGUUUCCCACCCCCAAGGGGUGAGGCCAGCCCUAGAUGGCAAAGGGGGUGGCGGCCAAGAGGGGAGAGGAGAGGGAGGCGCACCAAUAUGGGCCUUAAGGCCCAUCUGGACUAGGGUUUGCCCCCUCCCACUCUCCCUUGCGCCUUGCACCCUUGUGGGGGGCGCACCAGCCCUCCUAGGGGCUGGUCCCCUCCCACACUUGGCCCACGCAACCUGCUGGGGCAGGUGGCCCCACUUGGUGGACCCCCGGGACCCUCCCGGUGGUCCCGGUACAUUACCGAUAUCGCCCGAAACUUUUCCGGUGACCAAAACAGGACUUCCCAUAUAUAAAUCUUUACCUCCGGACCAUUCCGGAACUCCUCGUGACGUCCGGGAUCUCAUCCGGGACUCCGAACAACAUUCGGUAACCACAUACAAGCUUCCUUUAUAACCCUAGCGUCACCGAACCUUAAGUGUGUAGACCCUACGGGUUCGGGAGACAUGUAGACAUGACCGAGACGUUCUCCGGUCAAUAACCAACAGCGGGAUCUGGAUACCCAUGUUGGCUCCCACAUGUUCCACGAUGAUCUCAUCGGAUGAACCACGAUGUCAAGGACUUAAUCAAUCCCGUAUUCAAUUCCCUUUGUCUAGCGGUAUUUUACUUGCCCGAGAUUCGAUCGUCGGUAUACCGAUACCUUGUUCAAUCUCAUUACCGGCAAGUCUCUUUACUCGUUCCGUAACACAUCAUCCCGUGAUCAACCCCUUGGUCACAUUGUGCACAUUAUGAUGAUGUCCUACCGAGUGGGCCCAGAGAUACCUCUCCGUUUACACGGAGUGACAAAUCCCAGUCUCGAUUCGUGCCAACCCAACAGACACUUUCGGAGAUACCUGUAAUGCACCUUUAUAGCCACCCAGUUAUGUUGUGACGUUUGGUAGACCCAAAGCAUUCCUACGGUAUCCGGGAGUUGCACAAUCUCAUGGUCUAAGGAAAAGAUACUUGACAUUAGAAAAGCUUUAGCAUACGAACUACACGAUCUUUGUGCUAGGCUUAGGAUUGGGUCUUGUCCAUCACAUCAUUCUCCUAAUGAUGUGAUCCCGUUAUCAACGACAUCCAAUGUCUAUAGCCAGGAAACCAUGACUAUCUGUUGAUCACAACGAGCUAGUCAACUAGAGGCUCACUAGGGACAUAUUGUGGUCUAUGUAUUCACACGUGUAUUACGAUUUCCAGAUAAUACAGUUAUAGCAUGAAUAAAAGACUAUUAUCAUGAACAAAGAAAUAUAAUAAUAACACUUUUAUUAUUGCCUCUAGGGCAUAUUUCCAACAGACAUCACACGUGCUAAUGAAUUUUGUAGCAUUACUCUGUUGUAUUCAGCCUAAACAAGCAAUAUACCAUUCAAAUCCUUACCCAUGAGGUGGUAUAUAAAUAAUCAAACCAGGGUUCAAGGCAUCAAGUCCUAUCAUGUUUCUUUUACUGACUAUGAAGUAGUAAGUAGUAAUAGAAAUUAUGCUAUAUUGCUACAAGGCAUUUAGGGUAACAUGUAAUGUUUCUACUUUCUACGCAAGUGCCAACAAAAUCUCUUGAAAAGCUAGCACAUAACACAAUGGAAUACUGGGUUUGACACUUGUGUUGGGAGUAUCAAGUUAGAAUUAUUUGGAUGUUGUUUCUUUGGCUUGACCUGGAAGCAGGAAGCAUGCAACUUGGACCAGAGAAGAGAAACAAUGUUCAUGGUUGUCCAGGUUGGAUACUUGCUUUAGCGUUCAUGAUAUUUCACCGGAGGAUGAUGACAGUGUGCCCCCACAGUUCUAAGGGAGGUGUCGCUGCUGUGGAUGCUGUUGAAGGGCCUACACUUCAUGCUCCCGCUCGAUUUUAAGCAAGGGCCAGACCAUCCUCUACCUCGUCUUUGCCAUGAGAGUAUCAGUAAUCUUCUUUUGCAAUGUGUUUGUUAGGAUCUGAUGAAUUGUGGGUUUAUGGUCAGAUUAUUCAUUGAAAGUAAUUGAAUCCUUUCUGAACUUUAUUAUGCAUGAUUGUUAUAGCUUUGUAUUUCUCUCCGAUCUUUCUGUUUGGUUUGGUCAACUCGAUUGAUUUAUCUUCAGUGGGAGAGGUGCUUUGUAAUGGGUUCAAUAUUGCAGUGUCCUCAUGACAGAAGGGGUAGCGAGGCAUGUAUAGUGUUGUUGCCAUUAAGGGUAAAACAACAGGGUUUAAUCAUAUUGCUUGAGUUUAUUUUGUCUGCAUCAUGUUAUCUUGCUUAAGGCGUUACUCUGUUUGUUAUGAACUUAAUACUAU